AACGCACGAGACCUGCGGACCUGCGGAAGGAUCAUUACCGAGUUAUCCAACUCCCAACCCCUGUGAAUUAUACCUUUAAUUGUUGCUUCGGCGGGACUUCGCGCCCGCCGGGGACCCAAACCUUCUGAAUUUUUUAAUAAGUAUCUUCUGAGUGGUUAAAAAAUGAAUCAAAACUUUCAACAAUGGAUCUCU
rnacentral:misc_RNA from 1 species